ACUACAGAAAAUAGAAUGUCCAAAAAUUGUUAGUGCAUAAUAAUUGUGUAUAGGUGCUUUUAUGGUUACAUGUGAAUAUAAAUCCGUGAUCGUUGUUUCCCUUUUACUCUGCGAAAACGGUAUAUGUGUAAAGAAAGAAUAUUUUUCGAUAACAUCUUGCGACGGGGCAGCCCAAAAUCAGUCAUACUUCAGAUGCCUACGGAUCAACAUGUUCUUGGGAAUGCAGGCGGUAGCAUUCCUUCUGCUUCUUCUGGCACAUUCUGACGGAUUGAUAAGAAUGAUUUGAUAAGAAUCAAAGAGGUAUGAUCAGAUGGUUACUGGUUAUGUUAUUUGAAUACCCUUUACUGGCACAGUACAAGUUUACUAUGUAUUGUAUAUCCAGAGUCAAAUUCGUACAAUAUUAAAUACCAGAUACUGUAAUACCAAUCGAAAUCGCUAUACAAAGCGCAGAAAGAUCGUUGCCUGCUGCCCCAAAGCAACAAAGUUGGCAUUCGAAUCCGAGGGCCUGAAAGGAGAAUGGGAAUGUGGAACAGGUUUCUGAUGUUCCCAAAAGUCAAGUCAUUUUAUAUAAAAGUAUGUAAGCAAAGUACUUUAAAAUCUACCAGGUAAUCAACAACCCAAUGAGGAUAUGUGCUACCAAUUGCCUAUAAAGCUGAUAACGGAUUUUGGGAUUUUAGGGCGGCACAGCAAAUAAGCUUUGCCAUCAUAAUACCAUCAAAACAAACCAUUAAUGUCAAAUAAUACAAUAUAUCUUCGGUAAAACAAAUACGAUAGUAAAUGAAUUGUAAACUUUGUAUAUAAA